UGUGCCUGAUGUACAUAUGAUGAAAUCAUAAUCUUUCAGUCAGUUUAAUUGAAGUCUGGAGCUGGCAUGUCAGUUAACUGCUAGUAGUCUGUUGUUAUUUAUGUAUUAUUGUCAUUUUGUUUAUUUUCUUUGGUUACAUCUUCUGACAUCAGACUCGGACUUCUCUUGAACUGAAUUUUAAUGUACGUAUUGUUAUGCGUUUACUUUUCUACAUUGGUUAGAGGUAUAGGGGGAGGGUUGAGAUCUCACAAACAUGUUUAACCCCGCCGCAUUUUUGCGCCUGUCCCAAGUCAGGAGCCUCUGGCCUUUGUUAGUCUUGUAUUAUUUUAAUUUUAGUUUCUUGUGUACAAUUUGGAAAUUAGUAUGGCGUUCAUUAUCACUGAACUAGUAUAUAUUUGUUUGGGGGCCAGCUGAAGGACGCCUCCGGGUGCGGGAAUUUCUCGCUACAUUGAAGACCUGUUGGUGACCUUCUGCUGUUGUUUUUUAUUUGGUCGGGUUGUUGUCUCUUUGACACAUUCCCCAUUUCCAUUCUCAAUUUUAUUU
rnacentral:lncRNA from 1 species